GGCUAUUAGAAGAGGGUUGGAAAAUGUUUGCUAAGGAGAAUGAUUUGCAAUUGGGAGAUUUGUUGAUUUUCAAACAUGAAGGAGACAUGGAAUUUGAAGUUUCCAUCUUUGAUUCAAGUCAUUGUGACAGAGAGUACGCAGAGUAUCUGCAAGAAGAAGAGGGCAAUUAUGUUGAUGCGACUUCAAAGAAAGUGGAAAAAGAUCUUAGGCAUAAAACGUCGGACAUGACUACUCCAAUAUCGCAAACACCAGCUUCAACAUCUGCUGAUGCCGACCCUCAUUUUAUAUCCACUAUCAGACGUUACACAUUCACAAAAGCUAUUUUGUAUUUUCCGAUGCGUUUUGUGAAAUCAAAUGGCUUGAUGAGUAGAAGUGAGAUGAUUCUUAUCGACGAAAAGCAGAGAUCAUGGUCAGUAUGGC
rnacentral:misc_RNA from 1 species